AGCUUUGCGCAGUGGCAGUAUCGUAGCCAAUGAGGUUUAUCCGAGGCGCGAUUAUUGCUAAUUAAAGUUUAGAAUACAGCUUUCCUUAUUGUCCCCCCUUGCUCAUAGCCAUCUUGCUUAAUUUUAUCAGUUUUUCUUUCAAA